rnacentral:rRNA from 1 species
UACGUAGGGUGCAAGCGUUGUCCGGAAUUAUUGGGCGUAAAGAGCUUGUAGGCGGUUUGUCGCGUCUGCUGUGAAAUUUCGGGGCUCAACCCCCGAGCCUGCAGUGGAUACGGGCAGACUAGAGGUAGGUAGGGGGAGAAUGGAAUUCCCGGUGUAGCGGUGAAAUGCGCAGAUAUCGGGAGGAACACCGGUGGCGAAGGCGGUUCUCUGGGCCUUACCUGACGCUGAGGAGCGAAAGCGUGGGGAGCGAACAGGG